rnacentral:rRNA from 1 species
AGAGUUUGAUCCUGGCUCAGGACGAACGCUGGCGGCGUGCCUAAUACAUGCAAGUCGAACGAAACUUUCUUACACCGAAUGCUUGCAUUCACCGUAAGAAGUUGAGUGGCGGACGGGUGAGUAACACGUGGGUAACCUGCCUAAAAGAAGGGGAUAACACUUGGAAACAGGUGCUAAUACCGUAUAUCUCUAAGGAUCGCAUGAUCCUUAGAUGAAAGAUGGUUCUGCUAUCGCUUUUAGAUGGACCCGCGGCGUAUUAACUAGUUGGUGGGGUAACGGCCUACCAAGGUGAUGAUACGUAGCCGAACUGAGAGGUUGAUCGGCCACAUUGGGACUGAGACACGGCUCAAACUCCUACGGGAGGCAGCAGUAGGGAAUCUUCCACAAUGGACGCAAGUCUGAUGGAGCAACGCCGCGUGAGUGAAGAAGGUCUUCGGAUCGUAAAACUCUGUUGUUAGAGAAGAACACGAGUGAGAGUAACUGUUCAUUCGAUGACGGUAUCUAACCAGCAAGUCACGGCUAACUACGUGCCAGCAGCCGCGGUAAUACGUAGGUGGCAAGCGUUGUCCGGAUUUAUUGGGCGUAAAGGGAACGCAGGCGGUCUUUUAAGUCUGAUGUGAAAGCCUUCGGCUUAACCGGAGUAGUGCAUUGGAGACUGGAAGACUUGAGUGCAGAAGAGGAGAGUGGAACUCCAUGUGUAGCGGUGAAAUGCGUAGAUAUAUGGAAGAACACCAGUGGCGAAAGCGGCUCUCUGGUCUGUAACUGACGCUGAGGUUCGAAAGCGUGGGUAGCAAACAGGAUUAGAUACCCUGGUAGUC